rnacentral:rRNA from 1 species
GUAGGUGGCAAGCGUUGUCCGGAAUUAUUGGGCGUAAAGCGCGCGCAGGUGGUUCUUUAAGUCUGAUGUGAAAGCCCCCGGGCUCAACCGGGGAGGGUCAUUGGAAACUGGGGAACUUGAGUGCAGGAGAGGAAAGUGGAAUUCCACGUGUAGCGGUGAAAUGCGUAGAUAUGUGGAGGAACACCAGUGGCGAAGGCGACUUUCUGGCCUGUAACUGACACUGAGGCGCGAAAGCGUGGGGAGCAAACAGGAUUAGAUACCCUGGUAGUCCACGCCGUAAACGAUGAGUGCUAAGUGUUGGGGGGUUUCCGCCCCUCAGUGCUGCAGCUAACGCAUUAAGCACUCCGCCUGGGGAGUACGGCCGCAGGACUG